rnacentral:pre_miRNA from 1 species
AUACACAUUUCUUGGGAUUGGGUUCAAAUGCAUAUUCUCAUUUAGUAGCUCUGGGGCAGAGAUCAGAUUCUGCAUUUCUAACCAGCUCCCAGAUGUCUGU